rnacentral:misc_RNA from 1 species
AAGUCGUAACAAGGUUGCCGUAGGUGAACCUGCGGCAGGAUCAUUACUGAUCAAAACAAAAAAGUCGAAUUUUUCUUUCGAGAGAGAUUCGCAACUCGCUUGGUGAGAGGAAAAAAAACGCGUCUCUUUAUACGUACGCAUUUUUUUUCUCUGUGUGGGAAAGUUUUGUCUCACGUACGAAACUUUUUUUCCCCACCAGGCACCCACAACAAACAAACAAAACAAAACAAAAUAUCGCACCUUCGGUGGAUCACUCGGCUGGUG